rnacentral:rRNA from 1 species
ACACAUGCAAGUCGAGGGGAAACGACAUCGAAAGCUUGCUUUUGAUGGGUGUCGACCGGCGCACGGGUGAGUAACGCGUAUCCAACCUGCCCACCACAUGGGGAUAACCUUGCGAAAGUAAGACUAAUACCCAAUGAUAUCUCUAGAAGACAUCUGAAAGAGAUUAAAGAUUUAUCGGUGAUGGAUGGGGAUGCGUCUGAUUAGCUUGUUGGCGGGGUAACGGCCCACCAAGGCGACGAUCAGUAGGGGUUCUGAGAGGAAGGUCCCCCACAUUGGAACUGAGACACGGUCCAAACUCCUACGGGAGGCAGCAGUGAGGAGUAUUGGUCAAUGGACGAGAGUCUGAACCAGCCAAGUAGCGUGCAGGAUGACGGCCCUAUGGGUUGUAAACUGCUUUUAUAAGGGAAUAAAGUGAGUCUCGUGAGACUUUUUGCAUGUACCUUAUGAAUAAGGACCGGCUAAUUCCGUGCCAGCAGCCGCGGUAAUACGGAAGGUCCGGGCGUUAUCCGGAUUUAUUGGGUUUAAAGGGAGCGUAGGCCGGAGAUUAAGCGUGUUGUGAAAUGUAGACGCUCAACGUCUGCACUGCAGCGCGAACUGGUUUCCUUGAGUACGCACAAAGUGGGCGGAAUUCGUGGUGUAGCGGUGAAAUGCUUAGAUAUCACGAAGAACUCCGAUUGCGAAGGCAGCUCACCGGAGCGCAACUGACGCUGAAGCUCGAAAGUGCGGGUAUCGAACAGGAUUAGAUACCCUGGUAGUCCGCACGGUAAACGAUGGAUGCCCGCUGUUGGUCUGAAUAGGUCAGCGGCCAAGCGAAAGCAUUAAGCAUCCCACCUGGGGAGUACGCCGGCA